CCUACGGGUGGCAGCAGUGGGGAAUAUUGCACAAUGGGGGAAACCCUGAUGCAGCAACGCCGCGUGAGUGAAGAAGUAUUUCGGUAUGUAAAGCUCUAUCAGCAGGGAAGAAGAUGACGGUACCUGAUUAAGAAGCCCCGGCUAACUACGUGCCAGCAGCCGCGGUAAUACGUAGGGGGCAAGCGUUAUCCGGAUUUACUGGGUGUAAAGGGAGCGCAGACGGCAGUGCAAGUCUGGAGUGAAAGCCCGGGGCCCAACCCCGGAACUGCUUUGGAAACUGUAUGGCUGGAGUGCAGGAGAGGUAAGUGGAAUUCCUAGGGUAGCGGUGAAAUGCGUAGAUAUUAGGAGGAACACCAGUGGCGAAGGCGGCUUACUGGACUGUAACUGACGUUGAGGCUCGAAAGCGUGGGGAGCAAACAGGAUUAGAUACCCGAGUAGUC
rnacentral:rRNA from 1 species